UCCCAUGUGGCUCAGUUGGUAGAGCAUGGCGUUUGCAACGCCAGGGUUGUGGGUUCGAUUCCCACGGGGGAC
rfam:Salmo salar isolate Sally breed double haploid chromosome ssa09, whole genome shotgun sequence.